UACGGAGGGGACUAGCGUUGUUCGGAAUUACUGGGCGUAAAGCGCACGUAGGCGGCUUUGUAAGUUAGAGGUGAAAGCCCAGGGCUCAACCCUGGAAUUGCCUUUAAGACUGCAUCGCUUGAACAUCGGAGAGGUAAGUGGAAUUCCGAGUGUAGAGGUGAAAUUCGUAGAUAUUCGGAAGAACACCAGUGGCGAAGGCGACUUACUGGACGAUUGUUGACGCUGAGGUGCGAAAGCGUGGGGAGCAAACAGG
rnacentral:rRNA from 1 species